UCUACCCCUUUCCACACAGCUCAUCAACUCUACUCUUAUAUUAUUAACAAAUACACUAUCCCCACUUCUGUCUCCAUCUCCAUCUCUAAUAAAUAAGUGCAAUAUUCCAGUUUACCCACCAUGGCUGACAUCAUGAAGACUUCCUCAACUACCCCCUCUCAUCAUUCACAUACCUCUUUGUGUACCUCUUUGUGUACUCCUUUCAAAUUGAAUAUGAAUAUUGAUCAGUUCAAAGAAUAAAUUCCAUCUCAAUCAACAGCAGAAUCAAUCAAUAUAGCAAAGAUCACUACAAAAGCUGACAUUCUGAAGAAAUUCUAAAUUGUCAAUGAAUCUGAACUUAUAAUUUAACUUCAGAGUCCUCUAAUCCACUCAUUCUAUUUUAAAUUUUAUAUUAAUCAUCUAAGCUUAGAGCAUAUCAAAGAAUCUAAAGCAUGCACAAAAGAUUCUAUUUUCAUGAAUAUUGAGAUUCAUUUGCUCAAAGAAGAGUGUGAUGGACAAGCACAGUUCUCUACAGAGGAAUCAAGUUUUGAAAUAUAUGAGAUAAUUAACUUUUAUUGUUGUUUCAUUGUUAAGACCACAUUCUGGAACCAUCAAAUACAAGACAGUAUGUAUUAUCAAAAAAACAUUCAA
rnacentral:sRNA from 2 species